rnacentral:lncRNA from 1 species
GGGUGGUAAAGGGUCCUCUAAUUUAGUAUAGAAAAUUGAAGGAUCAGGCUCAAUAAGAGCCAAGCUAAAAUAGUAUGACCUUGUUAAUUUGAGCUUCUUGGAAGCUUUUUAGCGUGAAAAGGCAAAAGCUCAAAGAAACAGCGAAUUUCUCGUACAGGUUCCAAAAAACUGGAAGACUAGAAAAACUGAGUUUAUAUGGAAAGUUGGAAAGCUUAGUAAGUUUAUAUGGAAAGCUAGAAAGCUUAGUUUUAUGAGCUUUUUGUAGCUUGUGAACUCAGAAAGCU